UGUCGGCGUAUAGCAGCCCGGUAGCUCGCAUGGCUCAUAGCCACGAGGUCGCAGGUUCGAAUCCUGUCGCCGCAACCA
rnacentral:tRNA from 1 species